rnacentral:rRNA from 1 species
CACGUAGGGGGCGAGCGUUGUCCGGAUUCAUUGGGCGUAAAGCGCGCGCAGGCGGCUCGGAAAGUCGGGUGUGAAAACUCGGGGCUCAACCCCGGGCGUGCAUCCGAUACUGCCGGGCUUGAGGCAGGUAGGGGAGAUCGGAAUUCCUGGUGUAGCGGUGAAAUGCGCAGAUAUCAGGAGGAACACCGGUGGCGAAGGCGGAUCUCUGGGCCGAUAUUGACGCUGAGGAGCGAAAGCGUGGGGAGCGAACAGG